GAUCAUGGCUCAGGAUGAACGCUGGCGGCGUGCCUAACACAUUCAAGUCGAACGGAACUUGAUGAGUAGCAAUACGAAUUAAGUUUAGUGGCGGACGGGUGAGUAACGCGUGAGCAACCUGCCUUUCAAAGCGGGAUAACGACUGGAAACGGUCGCUAAUACCGCAUGACGUAUACGAGUCGCAUGUCUUGUAUACCAAAAGGGAAACCUGAUGAAAGAUGGGCUCGCGUCUGAUUAGAUAG
rnacentral:rRNA from 1 species